UACGUAGGGUGCGAGCGUUGUCCGGAAUUAUUGGGCGUAAAGAGCUCGUAGGCGGUUUGUCGCGUCGGCUGUGAAAACUCGGGGCUCAACCCCGAGCCUGCAGUCGAUACGGGCAAACUAGAGUGUGGUAGGGGAGACUGGAAUUCCUGGCGUAGCGGUGAAAUGCGCAGAUAUCAGGAGGAACACCGGCGGCGAAGGCGGGUCUCUGGGCCAUAACUGACGCUGAGGAGCGAAAGCGUGGGGAGCAAACAAG
rnacentral:rRNA from 1 species